UAAGGUUAAGUUAAUAAGGGCGCACGGUGGAUGCCUUGGCACUAGAAGCCGAAGAAGGACGUGACAAACGACGAAAUGCUUUGGGGAGCUGUAAGUAAGCGACGAUCCAGAGAUGUCCGAAUGGGGGAACCCACUAGCUGAUGGCUAGUACUCCUAUCUGUUAAGGAUAGGUAGAGGAAGACGCAGUGAACUGAAACAUCUAAGUAGCUGCAGGAAGAGAAAGCAAAAGCGAUUGCCUGAGUAGCGGCGAGCGAAACGGCAGGAGGGCAAACCGAAGAGUUUACUCUUCGGGGUUGUAGGACUGCAAUGUGGACUUAAAGAUUAUAGAAGAAUGACAUGGGAAGGUCAGCCAAAGAGAGUAAGAGCCUCGUAUUUGAAAUAGUCUUUAUACCUAGCAGUAUCCUGAGUACGGCGGGACACGAGAAAUCCCGUCGGAAUCUGGGAGGACCAUCUCCCAACCCUAAAUACUCUCUAGUGACCGAUAGUGAACCAGUACCGUGAGGGAAAGGUGAAAAGCACCCCGGGAGGGGAGUGAAAUAGAACCUGAAACCGUGUGCCUACAACAAGUUCGAGCCCGUUAAUGGGUGAGAGCGUGCCUUUUGUAGAAUGAACCGGCGAGUUACGAUAUGAUGCGAGGUUAAGUUGAAGAGACGGAGCCGUAGGGAAACCGAGUCUGAAUAGGGCGUCUUAGUAUUAUGUCGUAGACCCGAAACCAUGUGACCUACCCAUGAGCAGGUUGAAGGUGAGGUAAAACUCACUGGAGGACCGAACCAGGGCACGUUGAAAAGUGCUUGGAUGACUUGUGGGUAGCGGAGAAAUUCCAAACGAACUUGGAGAUAGCUGGUUCUCUCCGAAAUAGCUUUAGGGCUAGCGUCGACAUUAAGAUUCUUGGAGGUAGAGCACUGUUUGGGUGAGGGGUCCAUCCCGGAUUACCAAUCUCAGAUAAACUCCGAAUGCCAAAGAAUUAUGGUCGGCAGUCAGACUGCGAGUGCUAAGAUCCGUAGUCGAAAGGGAAACAGCCCAGACCACCAGCUAAGGUCCCAAAAUAAUUGUUAAGUGGAAAAGGAUGUGGGGUUGCACAGACAACUAGGAUGUUAGCUUAGAAGCAGCUAUUCAUUCAAAGAGUGCGUAAUAGCUCACUAGUCGAGUGACCCUGCGCCGAAAAUGUACCGGGGCUAAAACAAUUUACCGAAGCUGUGGAUACCUUUAUAGGUAUGGUAGGAGAGCGUUCUAUGUGUGGAGAAGGUGUACCGUGAGGAGCGCUGGAACGCAUAGAAGUGAGAAUGCCGGUAUGAGUAGCGAAAGACAGGUGAGAAUCCUGUCCACCGUAAGACUAAGGUUUCCAGGGGAAGGCUCGUCCGCCCUGGGUUAGUCGGGACCUAAGGAGAGACCGAAAGGUGUAUCCGAUGGACAACAGGUUGAUAUUCCUGUACU
rnacentral:rRNA from 1 species